rnacentral:rRNA from 1 species
CGUGUAGGCAGCUCGGAAAGUCGGAUGUGAAAGCCCUGGGCUCAACCUAGGAAGUGCAUUCGAAACUCUCGAGCUUGAGUUCUGGAGAGGAAGGCGGAAUUCUCGGUGUAGAGGUGAAAUUCGUAGAUAUCGAGAGGAACACCGGUGGCGAAGGCGGCCUUCUGGACAGUGACUGACGCUGAGACGCGAAAGCGUGGGGAGCAAACA